AGCAGCCGCGGUAAUUCCAGCUCCAAUAGCGUAUAUUAAAGUUGUUGCAGUUAAAAAGCUCGUAGUUGAAUUUCGGGGUUAGUAGGUUGGUCAUGCCUCUGGUAUGUACUGGUCUCACUGAUUCCUCCUUCCUGAUGAGCCGUAAUGCCAUUAAUUUGGUGUUGCGAGGAAUCUGGACUGUUACUUUGAAAAAUUAGAGUGUUUAAAGCAAGCUAACGCUUGAAUACAUUAGCAUGGAAUAAUGAAAUAGGACGUUCGAUCCUAUUUUGUUGGUUUCUAGGAUUGACGUAAUGAUUAAUAGGGAUAGUUGGGGGCAUUAGUAUUCAAUUGUCAGAGGUGAAAUUCUUGGAUUUAUUGAAGACUAACUACUGCGAAAGCAUUUGCCAAGGAUGUUUUCAUUAAUCAAGACGAAAGUUAAGGGGAUCGAAGACGAUCAGAUACCGUCGUAGUCUUAACCAUAAACUAUAGCCGACUAGGGAUCGGAUGAUGUUAAUUUUUAAUGUA
rnacentral:rRNA from 1 species